rnacentral:rRNA from 1 species
CGGGUGAGUAAUGCAUAGGAAUCUGGCUUAAAGAGGGGGAUAACUCGGGGAAACUCGAGCUAAUACCGCGUAAGACCGGAAGGUGAAAGGAGGGGACCGCAAGGCCCUGCGCUUUAAGAUGAGCCUAUGUCGGAUUAGCUAGUUGGUUAGGUAAAGGCUGACCAAGGCGACGAUCCGUAGCUGGUCUGAGAGGAUGAUCAGCCACACUGGGACUGAGACACGGCCCAGACUCCUACGGGAGGCAGCAGUGGGGAAUAUUGGACAAUGGGGGCAACCCUGAUCCAGCAAUGCCGCGUGUGUGAAGAAGGCUUGCGGGUUGUAAAGCACUUUAGUGGGGGAGGAAGAGGAGAGCUCG